CAGGUAGUACUCCCUUCCAUUCCACGAGUGUGUCAGUGCGCGUGCGUUUGCAUAGUCAACUCGGGAUAAGCAACGGCGACGACGUCAUGGCCGCGCCGGUGACGCCGAGGCCGUCACUGAUCCGGCCGCGCUCCCAAUUGGGCGCCGUGGGCCUCGCCUCCGACCACUCCGCCGCCGCCACCGCCUCCUCUCGCCGCCGUCGCGACUUCGUCUUCGUGGUCAACCCCUCGGGCGCCAAUGGCCGCACGGGCAAGCAGUGGAAGCAGCUGCUCCCCCACCUCCGGAGCCGCCUCGCCGACCAAUGCAACAUUUGCGAGUGCGUCACUUCGGGACCGUCCCACGCCAUAGAUGUCACAAGGGAGGCUAUAAAGGAUGGGGCUGAUGCCGUGAUCGCUGUUGGCGGGGAUGGGACGCUUCAUGAGGUGGUGAAUGGCUUCUUUUGGAAAGGAAGUCCAGUCCGUGCGCUUGAUCGAGGGCCUGACCAUUUAACAACGCUCGGUCUCAUUCCACUUGGAACUGGCUCAGACUUCGCUAGGACAUUUGGCUGGUCAAAUGAUCCCCGUCAGGCAAUUGAUCGAAUUGUGAGAGGAGUUAAAUCAAAACUAGACAUAGGCAUGAUGGAAGGUUCGAAUGGAGACCCACAUUUCUUUGUGAAUGUUGCUGAUAUCCAUCUGAGUGCCAAGGCAGGCUAUUUUGCAUCUAUGUACAAAAGAUUUGGCAACUUAUGUUAUGUUUUGGGAGCUCUAAGAGGCUUUUGGGGACAUACUAAUCGAGAUCUGAGAAUAAAGGUAAAUGAAGGAGAUUGGACUACCGUUGAUAAAGCCACUGCUCUAUGCAUAGGAAAUGCCAAAUUCUUCGGCGGUGGCAUGAAGAUAACCCCAACAGCUGACCCUUUUAGUGGUGACCUUGAGGUUGUUAUUCUACAAAAUUUCAAGUGGUACGAUUUCCUUCUUAAGCUACAUCGGCUGUAUGCAGGCACGCAUUUACCAGUGAAUGGUGUGUCGUCAAUGAGAGUUCAAUCAAUUGAAGUAGCAGAGGUGGUGCCUAAUGGUGAUAUCUUUGUGCAAUCUGAUGGGGAGCAUUUCGGUUUUCUUCCUACCAAAUUUUCAGUUCUUCCUGGUGCAGUUGAUUUCUUCUGCUAGAUCAGUGUGCUCCAUGUUCCUGUUGGACUGACAGAAGAUGCAUGAUUCUUGGAAGGACAUGCUUACCUGUAUUUCCAGUGCCAAGUUAAUGCACUCCUAACGUCAAGUAAAUAUUGUGGCAACAGCAAAUCCCCUACUCCAGAAACUUUUAUUCUGCUCUCCUGGUAAGUAGGGAUCUAUCAACCGAGGAUCGGUGGCUUGUUGCACGGAUUACAUUCAGAGUUCUCAAAGAAACAUGAAUUUCCUUUUUCAGAUAGAAGCAACUUGUAUCUUUCUGCCUUUUGUUCUACUACAUGUAUAUACUAAACAAGUAAACUACUCCUUGUUGAACUUGUGAUUCUGGUUCCCUGACACUCAUAUAUCUAAAACUGAGCCGA